rnacentral:rRNA from 1 species
UUGCCCUAGUAACGGCGAGUGAAGCGGCAACAGCUCAAAUUUGAAAUCUGGCUCUUUUAGAGUCCGAGUUGUAAUUUGCAGAGGGCGCUUUGGCUUUGGCAGCGGUCCAAGUUCCUUGGAACAGGACGUCACAGAGGGUGAGAAUCCCGUACGUGGUCGCUGGCUAUUGCCGUGUAAAGCCCCUUCGACGAGUCGAGUUGUUUGGGAAUGCAGCUCUAAAUGGGAGGUACAUUUCUUCUAAAGCUAAAUAUUGGCCAGAGACCGAUAGCGCACAAGUAGAGUGAUCGAAAGAUGAAAAGCACUUUGGAAAGAGAGUCAAACAGCACGUGAAAUUGUUGAAAGGGAAGCGCUUGCAGCCAGACUUGCUUACAGUUGCUCAUCCGGGUUUCUACCCGGUGCACUCUUCUGUAGGCAGGCCAGCAUCAGUUUGGGCGGUAGGAUAAAGGUCUCUGUCACGUACCUCCUUUCGGGGAGGCCUUAUAGGGGAGACGACAUACUACCAGCCUGGACUGAGGUCCGCGCAUCUGCUAGGAUGCUGGCGUAAUGGCUGUAAGCGGCCCGUCUUGAAACACGGACCAAGGAGUCUAACAUCUAUGCGAGUGUUUGGGUGUCAAGCCCGAGCGCGUAAUGAAAGUGAACGGAGGUGGGAACCCGCAAGGGUGCACCAUCGACCGAUCCUGAUGUCUUCGGAAGGAUUUGAGUAAGAGCAUGGCUGUUGGGACCCGAAAGAUGGUGAACUAUGCUUGAAUAGGGUGAAGCCAGAGGAAACUCUGGUGGAGGCUCGCAGCGGUUCUGACGUGCAAAUCGAUCGUCAAAUUUGGGCAUAGGGGCGAAAGACUAAUCG